rnacentral:rRNA from 1 species
AUUGAACGCUGGCGGCAUGCCUAACACAUGCAAGUCGAACGAGAUGCGGACGGGUGAGUAAUGUCUGGGCAACUUCCUGAUGGAUGGGGAUAACUAAUGGUAACGGUUACUACUAACGCAUACCCACAGAUGUGCCCAAAUGGGAUUAGCUAGUUGGGGGGGUAACGGCGCACCAAGGCGACGAUCCCUCGCUGGUCUGAGAGGAUGACCAGCCACACUGGAACUGAGACACGGUCCAGACUCCUACGGGAGGCAGCAGUGGGGAAUAUUGCACAAUGGGGGCAAGCCUGAUGCAGCCAUGCCGCGUGUAUGAAGAAGGCCUUCGGGUUGUAAAGUACUUUCAGCAGGGAGGCGGUACCCGCAGAAGAAGCACCGGCUAACUCCGUGCCAGCAGCCGCGGUAAUAC